rnacentral:rRNA from 1 species
UACGAAGGGGGCUAGCGUUGUUCGGAAUUACUGGGCGUAAAGCGCACGUAGGCGGAUACUUAAGUCAGGGGUGAAAUCCCGGGGCUCAACCCCGGAACUGCCUUUGAUACUGGGUAUCUCGAGUCCGGAAGAGGUGAGUGGAAUUCCGAGUGUAGAGGUGAAAUUCGUAGAUAUUCGGAGGAACACCAGUGGCGAAGGCGGCUCACUGGCCCGGUACUGACGCUGAGGUGCGAAAGCGUGGGGAGCAAACAGGG